rnacentral:misc_RNA from 1 species
GCUUUCUCCAUUCUUCAACCUCGGACUAACAUUAAGAAAUAUGGGCUUCUUCUCCUUCCUUGGACGCCUCCUCUUUGCCUCCAUCUUCAUCCUCUCCGCCUGGCAGAUGUUUAAUGAGUUCGGCAAUAAUGGCGGGCCAGCAGCCGCGGAAUUGUCUUCAAAGGUAGCUGUUUUGAGGAGAAAUUUAUCAUCCAAGCUGGGGGUAGCAAUACCUGAUAUUGAUGUCAGACACUUGGUUGCCAUUUCUUUAUCUCUUAAAGGGAUUGGAGGCCUUCUGUUUGUUUUUGGCAGCAGAGUUGGAGCUUAUCUCCUACUUCUGCAAUUGGUUAUUAUCACCCCGGUUCUUUUUGAUUUCUUCAACUAUAGCCCUCAGAAACCUACUUUCGGUAUCCCCUUACCUGAUUUCUUGCAGCACAUUGCACUUUUUGGUGCUCUGCUUUUCUUCUUAGGGAUGAAGACCACAAGUCCAA